AGGUAAAAUGGUCGAGUAGGCAUUAGACUGUAAAUCUAAAGACAGGGGUGAAGUCCUCUUUUUACC
rnacentral:tRNA from 2 species